AACUUUCAACAACGGAUCUCUUGGUUCUGGCAUCGAUGAAGAACGCAGCGAAAUGCGAUAAGUAAUGUGAAUUGCAGAAUUCAGUGAAUCAUCGAAUCUUUGAACGCACAUUGCGCCCGCCAGUAUUCUGGCGGGCAUGCCUGUCCGAGCGUCAUUUCAACCCUCGAACCCCUCCGGGGGGUCGGCGUUGGGGAUCGGGAACCCCUCAGACGGGAUCCCGGCCCCGAAAUACAGUGGCGGUCUCGCCGCAGCCUCUCCUGCGCAGUAGUUUGCACAACUCGCACCGGGAGCGCGGCGCGUCCACGUCCGUAAAACACCCAACUUUCUGAAAUGUUGACCUCGGAUCAGGUAGGAAUACCCGCUGAACUUAAGCAUAUCAAUAAGCGGAGGAAAAGAAACCAACAGGGAUUGCCCUAGUAACGGCGAGUGAAGCGGCAACAGCUCAAAUUUGAAAUCUGGCCCCUAGGGUCCGAGUUGUAAUUUGUAGAGGAUGCUUUUGGUGAGGUGCCGCCCGAGUUCCCUGGAACGGGACGCCACAGAGGGUGAGAGCCCCGUCUGGCUGGCCACCGAGCCUCUGUAAAGCUCCUUCGACGAGUCGAGUAGUUUGGGAAUGCUGCUCUAAAUGGGAGGUAUAUGUCUUCUAAAGCUAAAUAUUGGCCAGAGACCGAUAGCGCACAAGUAGAGUGAUCGAAAGAUGAAAAGCACUUUGAAAAGAGGGUUAAAUAGUACGUGAAAUUGUUGAAAGGGAAGCGCUUGUGACCAGACUUGGGCGCGGCGGAUCAUCCGGGGUUCUCUCCGGUGCACUUCGCCGCGUUCAGGCCAGCAUCAGUUCGGCGCGGGGGAAAAAGGCUUCGGGAACGUGGCUGCUCCGGCAGUGUUAUAGCCCGUUGCAUAAUACCCUGCGCUGGACUGAGGACCGCGCAUCUGCAAGGAUGCUGGCGUAAUGGUCACCAGCGACCCGUCUUGAAACACGGACCAAGGAGUCGUCUUCGUAUGCGAGUGUUCGGGUGUCAAACCCCUACGCGUAAUGAAAGUGAACGCAGGUGAGAGCUUCGGCGCAUCAUCGACCGAUCCUGAUGUUCUCGGAUGGAUUUGAGUAAGAGCAUACGGGGCCGGACCCGAAAGAAGGUGAACUAUGCCUGUAUAGGGUGAAGCCAGAGGAAACUCUGGUGGAGGCUCGCAGCGGUUCUGACGUGCAAAUCGAUCGUCAAAUAUGGGCAUGGGGGCGAAAGACUAAUCGAACCUUCUAGUAGCUGGUUUCCGC
rnacentral:misc_RNA from 1 species